AGGUUACCAUGAUGAGGACACCUUCUCAAAAGAUCCUUAAAUCUCUCCCAUGCAUCAUACGAUGUCUCAAGCUUAAAUUGAGCAAAAAAAGAUGUGUCAUUCCUCAACUU
rnacentral:snoRNA from 1 species